rnacentral:rRNA from 1 species
AUUUACAUUUGAGUGAGUGGCGAACUGGUGAGUAACACGUGGGAAACCUGCCCAGAAGCGGGGGAUAACACCUGGAAACAGAUGCUAAUACCGCAUAACAACUUGGACCGCAUGGUCCGAGUUUGAAAGAUGGCUUCGGCUAUCACUUUUGGAUGGUCCCGCGGCGUAUUAGCUAGAUGGUGRGGUAACGGCUCACCAUGGCAAUGAUACGUAGCCGACCUGAGAGGGUAAUCGGCCACAUUGGGACUGAGACACGGCCCAAACUCCUACGGGAGGCAGCAGUAGGGAAUCUUCCACAAUGGACGAAAGUCUGAUGGAGCAACGCCGCGUGAGUGAAGAAGGGUUUCGGCUCGUAAAACUCUGUUGUUAAAGAAGAACAUAUCUGAGAGUAACUGUUCAGGUAUUGACGGUAUUUAACCAGAAAGCCACGGCUAACUACGUGCCAGCAGCCGCGGUAAUACGUAGGUGGCAARCGUUGUCCGGAUUUAUUGGGCGUAAAGCGAGCGCAGGCGGUUUUUUAAGUCUGAUGUGAAAGCCUUCGGCUCAACCGAAGAAGUGCAUCGGAAACUGGGAAACUUGAGUGCAGAAGAGGACAGUGGAACUCCAUGUGUAGCGGUGAAAUGCGUAGAUAUAUGGAAGAACACCAGUGGCRAAGGCGGCUGUCUGGUCUGUAACUGACGCUGAGGCUCGAAAGUAUGGGUAGCAAACAGGAUUAGAUACCCUGGUAGUCCAUACCGUAAACGAUGAAUGCUAAGUGUUGGAGGGUUUCCGCCCUUCAGUGCUGCAGCUAACGCAUUAAGCAUUCCGCCUGGGGAGUACGGCCGCAAGGCUGAAACUCAAAGGAAUUGACGGGGGCCCGCACAAGCGGUGGAGCAUGUGGUUUAAUUCGAAGCUACGCGAAGAACCUUACCAGGUCUUGACAUACUAUGCAAAUCUAAGAGAUUAGACGUUCCCUUCGGGGACAUGGAUACAGGUGGUGCAUGGUUGUCGUCAGCUCGUGUCGUGAGAUGUUGGGUUAAGUCCCGCA